rnacentral:rRNA from 1 species
GGGUCAGUAGGUUGGUCGUGCCACCGGUACGUACUGGUCUCACUGACUCCUCCUUCCUGAAGAACCGUGAUGCCAUUAAUUUGGUGUUGCGGGGAAACAGGACUGUUACUUUGAAAAAAUUAGAGUGUUUAAAGCAAGCUAACGCUUGAAUACAUUAGCAUGGAAUAGUGAAAUAGGACGAUCGAUCCUAUUUUGUUGGUUUCUAGGAUUGACGUA